rnacentral:rRNA from 1 species
UGGGGAAUCUUGCACAAUGGGGGCAACCCUGAUGCAGCGACGCCGCGUGAGCGAUGAAGGUUUUCGAAUCGUAAAGCUCUGUCCUAUGGGAAGAUAAUGACGGUACCAUAGGAGGAAGCCCCGGCUAACUACGUGCCAGCAGCCGCGGUAAUACGUAGGGGGCGAGCGUUGUCCGGAAUUAUUGGGCGUAAAGGGUACGUAGGUGGUUUUUUAAGUCAGGUGUCAAAGCGUGGAGCUUAACUCCAUUAAGCACUUGAAACUGAAAGACUUGAGUGAAGGAGAGGAAAGUGGAAUUCCUAGUGUAGCGGUGAAAUGCGUAGAUAUUAGGAGGAAUACCGGUGGCGAAGGCGACUUUCUGGACUUUUACUGACGCUCAGGUACGAAAGCGUGGGGAGCAAACAGG